ACUUGCCCAAGAUGCCACGCAGUGGGACUGAACCCAGAACCAUGUGGUUGGUAGGCAAGCUACUUACCACACAGCCACUCCUGCGCCUGUGUGUGUGUGUAUAUAUAUGUAUAUAUAUUGAUUACAAUUUUACUCUGGUGGAUCCCAUUAGCCAUUUGACAUUUAAAAACUAGUUUUCUAGAAACUUCUUUCCAAAUUCCUGUUUCGUUUUCUACUCAUUAACUUGUGUAGGUCGAACUCUGUAAAAUACUAGAGAAAGAAACCCAGCUGUUUCUUGCAAUACAUAACCAAUACACACAUCUAAAACUAAAUAUUUACAGGGCCCUUAAAAUACUAUUGUGGAUCGCAAAUUUACUACUUUGCUUGCAUGGACCCCCUUUAAUUACUAUUUUAUUUUGGUGGACCCACAAAAGCUAUUCAAUGUUUAAAGAUUAGUUUUAAAAAAAUGUCUUUCAAAAUUCCUGUUUUGUUUCUCACACAUUCACUUGAGUUGGAUGAACCUGGAAAAUGUUAGAGAAAGGACCCAAGCUGUUUCUUACAAUAAAUACAUUUAUGUGGCCCCUUAAAUUACUACUGUAGGUCCCCAAUGAACUGUUUUGUCAGCAUGGACCCUUAAAAAUCUUAUAUACACAUCCAGGAGUCAUAGGGGCCAAAGUUGAGAACCACUGCAUUCAAUGCAUACCGUUGUCUCAUUAAGACAUACCUCUGUCUAGCUCCCUAAUUAGUUUGACAGUGAGCUAGAUAAAGGGGUAGAUUUGUCUGUCUAUUCACCCACCCCUAUCUCCAAUUAUAACUGUUUUAAAUGAAAUAAAAAUUAAAAAAUACAGUUUUUCCUAAUUCUGAAAUUUAACAAUUAUAAAUAAAAAAAAAAAAUGAAAAAUUACAAA